AUACUGCAUAUUCCCACUCAUAAGUGGGAGCUGAACAACAGGGUCAAAAGAUUGGUUCCAGCUGGAAAAAGUAAUUACCUACAGUGACGUAAAUAGUGAAUGCCAGAGGGUAGAAGACAAAGCGUUACCUUGGAUGGGCCCUGAGGGUUCAUUGACCUAUAAAGGAUAAGCGCCGGGAGAGAGCUAUGGAAAAUAGUAGAUUCUCAAAGUCAGCCCUUUCUAAUUGAUUUUCUCCUUUUCCUCUUUCCUUCCUCUCUUCUUUUCCUCCAGUCCUUUGUUCUUUCUUCCCCUUUUUCUUUCUAUUCCAACAAGAAAAAUUAGUUUAGGAUUUAUUAUAGGCCAAGAUUUACACUAGGUAUUUACACUAUAUUAACUAGAAUCCUUAGUCGAAAGGAGUUUAUAUAUAACUGGGUAAACAAAGAAUUAGACACCUUUAAGAGAGUGAGGAAAACACCGUGACAGAAAUAACACGGUGCUACAGAUGGAGGAGGAGCAGUGUUUAACCUUUAUUCGAGAGCUUGGGAAGGUUUUUAUGGAGAAGAGUUACUGAUAUUGAGGUCAAUGAGUUCCAAAAGCAAUAUAUGGCAACUGGGGGGUGGUAGAUAAAGAAGCCCAGAGGAAACUGAGAAAUCGGUUUCUUUUUCAAAGUUGUGAGUAGUUAAAUAGGACCAGAGAGAACAGUGGUGAAAGAUGCCCACAGAGGAGUUAGCAGAUAACGGUGACAAAUGGGUGCGUGUGCAAACUGAUGGCUCCAUUGGCAAAUUGACUAACUGGAAACUGAAGUCCCUGGAAUCCUCUUCUUUCUGUAUUUCUGGGUUGUGCUUGUCCUUUUGGGCCACUAAGUUGUGCUAGGUUGGGAGAUGGAAGUGAAGUAUCUGCAUCACACUCUGAAGGUCAUCAUUCGUGGCAGGCAGUGACAGGCAAUGAGACAGAAGGCUUUUCAUUUUUCUUUUCUGCUCUGCGUGCCCUGUUCUUUUCGACUAUUGACUCUGUAGCAAUCCCGGCUGAUCACCAGAAGCUUUGCCGUAAACCCAGAGGCAGGCGAUAGUUGCUGACACCCAACAAAUUCCCACAGACGACCAUGUCUGACCCUUCAGGUUCUACUCCAGCAUCUAGGCAGGUCCAGCUCUGAGCUUCCCCCAAGCUCCAACUCAUUCACAUUCUCCUGAGCUGGAACCACUCCGAUCUGGGGUAAGAAUGCUGGAUGAAAUUCUAGAUGAUCUGAAGCCUCACCACUGACUUGCUAUAAGAUUUGGGCCAAGCCAAUCUCACUGAGCUGCCAAUCAUCUGGAAAGAUGCGAGCACAGAGAGGCAAGAUUGCACAGUGGCCUCAUGCCGGACACCAGGCCCUGGACUCCAGAUUUUCCAGGAGCCUAGGGUGCUUUUCAUCUUCUCUCAUCCCUCACAGCAUCUUCUCUUACGGUGAUGAACUCAAGUUCACAGACUUCAUCUUUUGCAGCUGGUGCUCAAACAUUUACCAGCAAACCAGUGGCAUUCACCCAUUUUCCUCAAGGCAGAAGAGACACUAGUCUUGCUGGGAUACACUCAAGCAGAAUCUGGAAAGACUUCAGGUUGAGUAAAUGCUCAGAAAGUGCACUGGCCUCUGGCAGUUGGGGCUGAAUGAGGCAGGGAAGAGAACCUUGAGUCAGCCACACCUAGAAUGGCUCCUCUUUGAGGGCCUCAUCUGUUCAACAACAGGCACUGAGACUUCCAGUUCAAUGUUGAGCGGGAAUGAUGAGAGGAGGCAGCCUGGACAUUUUUGACUUUUACCUGAUCUUGGGGCUUCAACAUUGCAGCUAAGCAACAUUCCUUCCCGAUAAGAGAACAAGACCAUGAAGUGUAUCUGUUCAGUUUACGGAGGCUGUGCAUUAAGUGUCUUCAUGCCCUCUGCUUCACCUUUUGAUGUACAAGAGCCUAACUGAAAUGUUCCUUGAGGAGAGGCUGGGUCUGGCUGGAGACUGCACUGCAGAGGGUAACCCCUGUCUCCUGGACCACCUAGCGAUGCUCUAAAAUCUCAAGGAGACCCUGCUGGCAUUUACUUUAUGCAAGACUAGCUUCAGAAAGCCCACGCGGCAUGAUGCAUCUAGAGAGUGUUCGAAACAGGAAGAGUCUUCUCAAUGUGCCUGAAGACUGAGAACAACUGCGCACAUUUAUGUGUCCAGAACACUUAUAAAUACACGUUAGCAUAUGAUAAAAUA